rnacentral:rRNA from 1 species
CAAUAGCGUAUAUUAAAGUUGUUGCAGUUAAAAAGCGCGUAGUUGGAUUUCUGGUGGGAGCGAUCGGUCUGGCGCUUAGCGCGAGUACUUGCAUCGUCUCCGGCCAUCCUUGGGGAGAGUCUGUCUGGCAUUAGGUUGUCGGGCAGAGGAUCCUCAUCGUUUACUGUGAAAAAAUUAGAGUGUUCAAAGCAGGCUUAUGCCGUUGAAUAUAUUAGCAUGGAAUAAUAAGAUAGGACUUUGGUACUAUUUUGUUGGUUUGCGCACCAAAGUAAUGAUUAAUAGGGACAGUUGGGGGUAUUCGUAUUCCGUUGUCAGAGGUGAAAUUCUUGGAUUUACGGAAGACGAACUACUGCGAAAGCAUUUACCAAGGAUGUUUUCAUUAA